rnacentral:lncRNA from 1 species
CGUAGCCCUCAUCCACUGCAUGAAGAUUCUUGCUGCUCUUGAGGCACAGUGGGUUUCCCACUCUUCCGCAGCGCAGUCCACAGAUUAAGCUGCUUUUUAGCUGCAGAUUAAACAGCUGUUAUGACACAGGCAGUUUGAUCUUUUCAGUUUGGCGCCGUUUCUCCUUCUGUCUUCCUCAUCCUCGCGUUUUGGCCGUUUUGUUGCUUUAAAAGAUGCCUAAGCCGAAUAGUCGAAGCUCGUGAAGUUGGUGGUGAGUCGAAUUAAAAUUGCUUCUUGCCAUCAGAACAAAAUCUACUCCGGUGUUGACUCUGGAAUGUAAAGCAGUCAGCAGAUGGCAGCAUUCAGUUCGCGCGAGAAGUCAGGUAAGUCGAAUUUAAAAUGGAGUAAAGCUUCAAUAUAAACAAAUUCCCUAAUUUUUACAGGAAAAUAAACUUCAUAAACUGCGGGUCAGCCAUUGCCCCAGGCCUGCCUUCUGUCUUCCAACAAACACGAGUCUAU